UAGGGCUCUGACGGCAUACCCCGAGAAUCGGGGACAAUACCGGAUGAUGCAGCGGAACCGCAUGGUUAUGAAGUUAAAUCAGGAAUGGCCUGUAGAUAAGCCUAUAUUCCUCAGGUAGUUGGCGGGGUAAAUGCCACCAUGCAUACGAUGGAUAGGUGGAUGAGAGUGAGUUCCGCCCAUUUUCCUCACUAACAAUUACUCACUACCCCUCUCUAUUAAAAUAUUUCA
rnacentral:rRNA from 1 species